AUUGAACGCUGGCGGCAUGCCUUACACAUGCAAGUCGAACGGCAGCAUGAUCUAGCUUGCUAGAUUGAUGGCGAGUGGCGAACGGGUGAGUAAUACAUCGGAACGUGCCCUGUAGUGGGGGAUAACUAGUCGAAAGAUUAGCUAAUACCGCAUACGACCUGAGGGUGAAAGUGGGGGACCGCAAGGCCUCAUGCUAUAGGAGCGGCCGAUGUCUGAUUAGCUAGUUGGUGAGGUAAAGGCCCACCAAGGCGACGAUCAGUAGCUGGUCUGAGAGGACGAUCAGCCACACUGGGACUGAGACACGGCCCAGACUCCUACGGGAGGCAGCAGUGGGGAAUUUUGGACAAUGGGCGAAAGCCUGAUCCAGCAAUGCCGCGUGUGUGAAGAAGGCCUUCGGGUUGUAAAGCACUUUUGUCCGGAAAGAAAUGGCUCUGGUUAAUACCUGGGGUCGAUGACGGUACCGGAAGAAUAAGGACCGGCUAACUACGUG
rnacentral:rRNA from 1 species